UUGACAUUAGCGUUGGUGUGGCUUAGUUUCAGGAGUGAGGGUAAGGGAGGGUCGCCCCUCCCCCUGGUGUCUUAGUAAGCCGGGAAGCUAAUGACUAAGAAUAUCACCAGUAUGAUGACCAACUUCAUCAUAACCCUUUCCUUAUU
rfam:Citrobacter rodentium ICC168, complete genome